rnacentral:rRNA from 1 species
GAAUUCGAUUCUCCUGGAAACGGGUGGUAAUGCCGAUGCUCCAGUUGGAUGCAUGUCCUUCUGGGAAAGAUUAUAUCGGUAUGGGAUGGGGUCGCGUCCUAUCAGGUAGUCGGCGGGGUAACGGCCCACCGAGCCUACGACGGGUAGCCGGCCUGAGAGGGCGACCGGCCACAUUGGGACUGAGAUACGGCCCAGACUCCUACGGGAGGCAGCAGUGGGGAAUAUUGCACAAUGGGCGCAAGCCUGAUGCAGCGACGCCGCGUGCGGGAUGACGGCCUUCGGGUUGUAAACCGCUUUUGAUUGGGAGCAAGCCUUCGGGUGAGUGUACCUUUCGAAUAAGCACCGGCUAACUACGUGCCAGCAGCCGCGGUAAUACGUAGGGUGCAAGCGUUAUCCGGAAUUAUUGGGCGUAAAGGGCUCGUAGGCGGUUCGUCGCGUCCGGUGUGAAAGUCCAUCGCUUAACGGUGGAUCCGCGCCGGGUACGGGCGGGCUUGAGUGCGGUAGGGGAGACUGGAAUUCCCGGUGUAACGGUGGAAUGUGUAGAUAUCGGGAAGAACACCAAUCACUAGUG